GACGAACGCUGGCGGCGUGCCUAAUACAUGCAAGUAGAACGCUGAAGCUUGGUGCUUGCCCCGAGCGGAUGAGUUGCGAACGGGUGAGUAACGCGUAGGUAACCUGCCUGGUAGCGGGGGAUAACUAUUGGAAACGAUAGCUAAUACCGCAUAACAGUAGAUAUCGCAUGAUAGCUACUUGAAAGGUGCAAAUGCACCACUACCAGAUGGACCUGCGUUGUAUUAGCUAGUUGGUGAGGUAACGGCUCACCAAGGCAACGAUACAUAGCCGACCUGAGAGGGUGAUCGGCCACACUGGGACUGAGACACGGCCCAGACUCCUACGGGAGGCAGCAGUAGGGAAUCUUCGGCAAUGGACGGAAGUCUGACCGAGCAACGCCGCGUGAGUGAAGAAGGUUUUCGGAUCGUAAAGCUCUGUUGUAAGAGAAGAACGAGUGUGAGAGUGGAAAGUGCACACUGUGACGGUAUCUUACCAGAAAGGGACGGCUAACUACGU
rnacentral:rRNA from 1 species